rnacentral:rRNA from 1 species
CCUACGGGGGGCAGCAGUGGGGAAUAUUGGGCAAUGGGCGCAAGCCUGACCCAGCAACGCCGCGUGAAGGAAGAAGGCUUUCGGGUUGUAAACUCCUUUUGUCAGGGACGCAGCAAGUGACGGUACCUGACGCAUAAGCCACGGCUAACUACGUGCCAGCAGCCGAGGUACUACGGAGGUGGCAAGCGUUAUCCGGAUUUACUGGGUGUAAAGGGCGUGUAGGCGGGACUGCAAGUCAGAUGUGAAAACCACGGGGUCAACCUGUGGCCUGCAUUUGAAACUGUAGUUCUUGAGUAGUGGAGAGGCAGACGGAAUGCCUGGUGUAGCGGUGAAAUGCGUAGAUAUUAGGAGGAACACCAGUGGCGAAGGCGGUCUGCUGGACAGCAACUGACGCUGAGGCGCGAAAGCGUGGGGAGCAAACAGGAUUAGAUACCCGAGUAGUC